rnacentral:rRNA from 1 species
GACGAACGCUGGCGGCGUGCUUAACACAUGCAAGUCGAACGGAGAGGCCCUGCUUUUGUGGGGUGCUCGAGUGGCGAACGGGUGAGUAACACGUGGGUAACCUGCCCUUGACUUUGGGAUAACUUCAGGAAACUGGGGCUAAUACCGGAUAGGAGCUCCUGCUGCAUGGUGGGGGUUGGAAAGUUUCGGCGGUUGGGGAUGGACUCGCGGCUUAUCAGCUUGUUGGUGGGGUAGUGGCUUACCAAGGCUUUGACGGGUAGCCGGCCUGAGAGGGUGACCGGCCACAUUGGGACUGAGAUACGGCCCAGACUCCUACGGGAGGCAGCAGUGGGGAAUAUUGCACAAUGGGCGGAAGCCUGAUGCAGCAACGCCGCGUGCGGGAUGACGGCCUUCGGGUUGUAAACCGCUUUCGCCUGUGACGAAGCGUGAGUGACGGUAAUGGGUAAAGAAGCACCGGCUAACUACGUG